rnacentral:rRNA from 1 species
AUGAACGCUGGCGGCAGGCCUAACACAUGCAAGUCGAACGGAGUUAUAUUGUAGCUUGCUAUGGUAUAACUUAGUGGCAGACGGGUGAGUAAUGUAUAGGAAUCUACCUAGUAGUACGGAAUAAUUGUUGGAAACGGCAACUAAUACCGUAUACGCCCUACGGGGGAAAAAUUUAUUGCUAUUAGAUGAGCCUAUAUUAGAUUAGCUAGUUGGUGGAGUAAUAGCCUACCAAGGCAAUGAUCUAUAGCUGAUCUGAGAGGAUGAUCAGCCACACUGGAACUGAGAUACGGUCCAGACUCCUACGGGAGGCAGCAGUGGGGAAUAUUGGACAAUGGGCGAAAGCCUGAUCCAGCCAUGCCGCAUGAGUGAAGAAGGCCUUUGGGUUGUAAAGCUCUUUUAGUGAGGAAGAUAAUGACGGUACUCACAGAAGAAGUCCUGGCUAACUCCGUGCCAGCAGCCGCGGUAAUACGGAGAGGGCUAGCGUUAUUCGGAAUUAUUGGGCGUGAAGGGCGCGUAGGCGGAUUAGUAAGUUAAAAGUGAAAUCCCAAGGCUCAACCUUGGAAUUGCUUUUAAAACUGCUAAUCUAGAGAUUGAGAGAGGAUAGAGGAAUUCCUAGUGUAGAGGUGAAAUUCGUAAAUAUUAGAGAGNA